CCCCUCUCAGGAUCAUCACAUCUGGAGGGUUUCCAGUACUCUACCAGUGUUGGCUAUGAGAGAGAGUCAAGCAGAGGCCUACCCAUUCCAUUCCUAGCUUGGGCAGUGGCUAGAGAAUGGAAGGAAAUCUGUUACAAGU